ACUACAAAAAACACUCGGAUUGUAGGCAACAGUUUACUUACUGGGAUUAGUGAUGUAGAUAAGACCAACAUUAUCAUAGUUCAGCCCUCUCUGCUUUGCUUGGGUACGCCCUCAAAGACGAGGGUGGGGAGCGCCGAGUCAGAAGAGAGCUAAAAUGGCGGAGGUUGGGAGUCCCUGCUUUUACUCUGUUUGCAAACUCUUGUUUCAUCGUUUAAGCGAUUAAAUCUCUCGAGUAGACGCUGUCUCUUUAGAUGCAAGGGCAAAAUAGCACUUUAUGGACUUCCACAGAGGACAUCAUGUUUAAUACGGUUCCGGAAAAAUCCAGUCAGAAGUUGUUCACGGAGUUUUCACAAUAACUGCUUCUCAUGAACCGAAGCUGGAUUUGCGCGACGUCUCCUCCUGAAAGUUGGAUUACUGUGCACUUCUGGAUCACAGGCUAUUCGCAGCUGGACACAUCCUUCUACACGGUAUGCAAACAUGCAACAUCAUUACACACAGUACAAGGAGUCAGACUGGCAUAUGAGGAGCAAAGGAACGCAGGCAGUAGCAUCAUUUCACAAUGUUUCCAUCACCAUCAUCAGUGGAUGCCUUUGCCGUCCGUAGCCUGAGAUUUCAGAUUUGCAGCAAAAAAAUUUGAUUUUCUCAUUUAUUGGAAUGCUAUGCAGGUUGUACCUUGCAGCCAUCCAUUACAAUGUCACCAAGCCGUAACAAAAGCAGGAGAGGGAAAGUACAAGGCUAUGUUCCCAAAACACACAAAUGACAUACCUUAUGUGGAGGAUGUGAUCAGGCUUGUGUUUGAUGAGGUAUUUGAAGAUAAGCUGAAGGAAACCCCCAUUCCAAUGGACCUGGCAUCACAGUUUGAGAAACCUUCAAAGGAGGACGUGAUUGCAUGCCAUCUUCAGUGCAGGGGUCGUCGGAAGCCAACAUUCCAAUCAGGAAGCUCCAAGCAUAUCUGGAGAACAACACACGACAGGAUGAUAACCCUAAAGUGUCAUCUUAGAUAGCACCAGCUGACAAAGCUUUGAUAUGCCAUUUAUCUCAAUAGAUAGCUGUAAGAAGUGAAUUGAACAAUUUUUGAAAGAAUAGCACAAUAUGGUUACUAAAGUAUGUUUAUUUGUAUAUUGUUUAACAUUUAAAUAUAUAUUUGUAAUAAAUAAACUUUUGACUGACUACUAUAUUUUCUUUAAAGUUACAUCUUUUGUUCUUUUGGGUACUUUGUUACUAUAAUAAUACUUUAGUGUUAUUGGUUUAAAAAUGUAAUAAAACUUAAUCUAGUCCUGCGCCUCAAAGGCUUAUAGUCGGUACAAUAAAUGUUCUGUGUGUAGGGAUUUAGACAAUUUGUGCAAAACCUGGAUGAUGAAUCACGCAGGUAAGAGGCCCUGGAACCUGUUGCAUUCUCCUUAAAACCUAGUAAGUAAAAACAUAGCACAGUCUUUCAUAAUAAAGUUUACCAUAGUAAAAUAAUGUAGAACUAACAUUCAUUUCAAUUAAUACUUUCUUUGUGCUACAUUUGGUGUUUCCAUAUAGUUUGCACAGUAAAAUAGUAUGUAA